rnacentral:rRNA from 1 species
GACGAACGCUGGCGGCGUGCUUAACACAUGCAAGUCGAACGGAAAGGCCCUGCUUUUGUGGGGUGCUCGAGUGGCGAACGGGUGAGUAACACGUGAGUAACCUGCCCUUGACUUUGGGAUAACUUCAGGAAACUGGGGCUAAUACCGGAUAGGAGCUCCUGCCGCAUGGUGGGGGUUGGAAAGUUUCGGCGGUUGGGGAUGGACUCGCGGCUUAUCAGCUUGUUGGUGGGGUAGUGGCUUACCAAGGCUUUGACGGGUAGCCGGCCUGAGAGGGUGACCGGCCACAUUGGGACUGAGAUACGGCCCAGACUCCUACGGGAGGCAGCAGUGGGGAAUAUUGCACAAUGGGCGGAAGCCUGAUGCAGCAACGCCGCGUGCGGGAUGACAGCCUUCGGGUUGUAAACCGCUUUCGCCUGUGACGAAGCGUGAGUGGCGGUAAUGGGUAAAGAAGCACCGGCUAACUACGUG